UUUUAGCCCAGAUGGAAACGGCAUCCUUUGCGUGCCUUCUUUAGGCAGGCAAAGAUAGAGUGGACAGCUGGAUAAGCU
rnacentral:sRNA from 1 species